rnacentral:tRNA from 1 species
AAGGGAGACCUAAUUCAGGUAUGGGAUGAAAAAAAAGUAGUCCCAACCAAGAAUCAAUCCCAAAAGGUCGGAGCGAGGCAAAAUUGGCUUUCAAACUAGGUUCUGGGUUCACACAAGACCUGAAUCAGGAACAAGGGCUAUUAGCUCAGGUGGUUAGAGCGCACCCCUGAUAAGGGUGAGGUCCCUGGUUCGAGUCCAGGAUGGCCCACCUGCACAGGUGGCAAAAACAAAGAAAAAAAGCUCCGAAUCAGCACCUUAUCUUACUUAUAUAGUAAGAGAGAAUGCUGGCUCUGAGUACAGAGUCCAGAGGAACCUUGAAAACUGCAUAGAGCUAGGUGAAAAAGCCAAAAAAGAAGACCGCCA